GGCGCUGUGGCUCAGUGGUAGAGCGCUGGCCUUGCAUGCAUGAGGCCAUGGGUUCGAUUCCUCAGCACCC
rfam:Dipodomys ordii contig_24694, whole genome shotgun sequence.